rnacentral:rRNA from 1 species
GCACAUAAUGAAUAAUCUUAUAAUAUUACCCAAUAAUAAAAACAAAUAAAUAAAACUUAACAAAUAACAAGUACAGAAGUGGAAAUAUAAAUAAAUAAAAGUAAAUAUUAACAAAUGUACCUUGUGCAUUAUGGUUUUACAAGAAAAUAAUUAAAUAUUAAAAUCCCGAAUUCUAAAUGAGAUGUUAAACUGCUGUUAAGAACCCAUUAAUAACUGUGGAAAAAGCUUUAAAAGACAGUUUAACAGAGGCUACAUACCAUCCGCAUAAGAAUAUAGCUGGUUUUCAACAAACAUUAUACAUUAAGACAUAUAAUCAUAUUAUAGUGUAAUAUUAUUGAGGACAAGCCCAAUAAUCAUAGCAAUAUUAAUACUACACCAGUUAACAUAAAUAGGCCUAAAACCAGCCAAUAAAAAUACUUCACCGUAACAAAUAAAGGUCCAAUACAUAAAUAAUAAAUGCUAAAGAAAGUUGAAAUAGUGGGCAAAUACUCAAACCCACCCAUACUAUGUAAAAAUAAGUAUUAUAUAAAUAUAGCAACAACAACCUAGUUAUCAACAAAAUAUACAAACACAAUAAUUAAUUAAGGAACUCGGCAAACCAUUAUUUCGACUGUUUAACAAAAACAUUGUCUCAUGAACCAAAUAUGAGAUAAUACCUGCCCAGUGACACAUGUUCAACGGCCGCGGUAUCCUAACCGUGCAAAGGUAGCAUAAUCACUUGCCUAUUAAUUGUAGGCUAGAAUGAACGGGUUAACGAAAUAAAGACUGUCUCAAUUAAUUACCUAAAAAUUAUUAUUUAUCCGAAGAAAGAUAGAUAACCUCGAAGGACAAGAAGACCCUAUAGAGCUUAAUUUAAAUUAUAGAAUUAAACUAUAAAAAUAUUCGGUUGGGGCGACCCAGGGCUAAACAAUCACCCACUAUAUAUAAGAUAAAUAAAUCAAAUAACUGACCCUUAAAAGAUCACAAGACCAAGCUACCUUAGGGAUAACAGGCUAAUCCCACUCAAGAGUCCUUAUCAACAGUGGGGUUUGGCACCUCGAUGUUGGCUUAGGGUAUCUAUAUAGCGCAAAAGUUAUAUAAAGAUGGUUUGUUCAACCAGUAAUUUCCCUACAUGAGCUGAGUUCAGACCGGCGUAAGCCAGGUUAGCUUCUAUCCUCGACCACACCAAUCUACUCCUAGUACGAAAGGACCUGAGUAGAGUAAUAAUUAUAUAAAAGAACCCAUAUAACUAAAUAUAAACAAACCACAUCAAACACUAUG